CAAGCGCAGAGCACGUGGCACUCUCAUUCCCACUCCAGUCCCAUCCCUCAACAGCCUCAUCAGGAUCGGUGUUCAACUUGCCAGGCAUCUGGAGAGGCUCUGGGGGCCAAGAGGGCAGUGGAAGAGAGAGCCUGCAGAGCCACAUAGAGCCAACUUAUUCUGGUCUUGUGCACCUGGAGCUGCCUACAUUUUUAACCCUGUGAGGCACCCAGAAACUUCAGAGAACAAAGUCACUGGCAGAAAGAGAUGCCAUGGAUGCACAAGUGUUGGCUAGGAAGGCUGUCUCCCCCCAUUUCCUCCUGCCUGGGCCAGGAAGUCUGAGGAGGAACGGGACCGAGAUGGUAUCUCUGGGACUCCAUGCUUCUGAUUCCAUUCCAAGUCAAAUGCCAGUGAUUUCUUUAAUGAUGUAUAGUUAAAUCCACCAUGGCUUUCCUCCAGUCAAGUGGGCUUCAGUGGAGGUUAAGUGGGAGACGGGGUGGGGGGUGCUGAGGUGCACCACGCAUGUGACCCAGAGCUGACCCUCAAUAAAUGUGAGUCCCCUUUGCUUUCUUUCUAGAGGGGGUACUAAAAAGUUAAGCAUGCCGUUAAAACCACCACCACUAGCACCACUGCCGACCUGCAAGGGACAAUGAUCAAGUUCACAGACAGGAAUUUGUCAGAGGUUUCCUCAAAACACACUGUAUCUGGCCGUCCAUGUGGGGCAAGGUCUGGGAAUGAGUUUCAGCGACAGGAAUUCAUUGGAGGGGCAACCACUGAAAACGAGGGUGGUCCGGGCCCCCAUGGGGGUGAAGCCGGCUCCUUUCCCAGGUCGUGUCCCUCAGUCUGGGCAACCUUGGGGUGGGUGGCAGAGCUCCGGGAAAAGCCUGAGGAAAACCCCACAGGGCGGUGGGGCUGGGGAGAGAAGGGCCUGCUGCCCUUCAUCCAGGCGAGGAGGCUCAUUUCUUAGCCUCCACGCCUCCCGCCUCCCACCUGCGAGCAGAGGUGGUGCUGACACUAGUGGGGGAUCUGAGCUUCAUCGCCCGACUUCAGUGUAGUCUGAAAAACUAGAUUAAAACCUGACCCUCGCACAGCUCCCUCUAAGAGCACAGCUGUGUGGCCAUUUCAUUUCCUCGAUCAGACUGAAAUCGUGACCCAGCAUAAGGUGGGUGAGACACCGAGAAGAGCCUCGGACACGCAGUGGACUGGCGCUGGAGUGGGCGUGGGCAAGUGCGCCCCUGCCGUGAAUCAGAGCCCUCGCCUGUUUUGGCACUGCUGGUGAGCAAAGAAUGACUUUUACAUUUUUUAAAUGGUUGAAAAAAAAGUCAAAAGAAGAAUGAUAUUUGGUGAUGUGUGAAAAUUAUAUAAAAUUCAAAUUUCAGUGUCCAUAAAUAAAAUUUUAUUGGAAAGGGCCAUGCUCAUCUGUCUGCACACUGCCUGUGGCUGCUCAUGAUACAGGCGUAGUGGCGUGGUCGUGGGACCGCAUGGCCCACAAAGCCUGAAAUAAUCUCUGACCCUUCACAGAGAACGUUUGCUGAGCCCUGCGCCAGGGAAUGGUGUGUGCGAGGCUGUGUGGCAUCUCUCCCUGGACAUGCUUACGAGGGGGCUGAGGGAGGUUGGGUUUGGGGGUGAGGGGCAGGUCAGAUCAGCCCAGCAAGGCCCCCCUGCAGGCAGUGACACCUGACACUGCCCUGCUCCUGAGCCCAGGCAGUGCCUCCCAGGAAUGACUCUGGAGCAGCUCAGGGCUCCGCAGAAAAGCAACGAGUUGGCACCUUGUCACUUUGCUUCAGAAGGUUCUUCACCGUGUCUUGCUCAAGUCUUUAUGUUGCCGUCACCAUUCUCCCCAUGAUCCUGGGGAGUCACUGAGCCAGAGGGGGAACAACCCCCACGUCUGACAGCAAGUGAAGGCCAGGGAAAGAAUGAGCUGGGGUCUGGCUCCCAUAGCGUCUGCGCUGACUGACGGCAUCUUUUCUGUUGAAGACGUCACCCCCAGUGGGGCAGGCCCUAACCCAAGACAGGGAGCUCAUGCCAUUUGUCAUUCCAGAUGCGUGGG